UUUCUUUCAGCAGAGGAGACACCAUCAUCAGGCAGGUUGUUUUCCCAGGUGAGCCUCAUCCUCUGUACUCCAGGUGUACUGACCCCUGUGAUUUCCCCACAUGUGGGAAACUUGACUUUGUAAUUUGUAGUGAUUCUGAGAAAGGUUUUUAGCCAUCAUGAA
rnacentral:snRNA from 14 species